ensembl:processed_transcript Gm43584 predicted gene 43584
CCUGCAGCAGGGUAGGAGAGAGGGAGGAGGGCAGGGUUGGAGACCUGGGUCUCCUGAGCUUGUAAUUGCUGGCUGCAUCAGUCCUAGUGAAGCAGGGCACCUGCGAGGUGAUUGCUGCACAUCGCUGCUGCAACCGGAACCGCAUUGAGGAGCGCUCCCAGACGGUCAAAUGCUCCUGCCUGUCCGGCCAGGUGGCUGGCACCACCAGAGCAAAGCCCUCCUGCGUGGACGCCUCCAUCGUCCUGCAGAAGUGGUGGUGUCAGAUGGAGCCCUGCCUGCUGGGAGAGGAGUGUAAGGUGCUCCCGGACCUGUCAGGGUGGAGCUGCAGCAGUGGACACAAGGUCAAAACCACCAAGGGAGCGGAGGCAGAAGGAUUGCUGUGAGCUUGCAGCUAAUUAGGACUACAUUGCCUUAAAAAAAAAUUUGGGAGCGCAGAGCGGUUUGGUCGUUCGUUGGUGGAGUCUGCUCGCCGAUUGCGGCUCUUGUUCGAGCGCUUCCAGCGUCGCCUCAGUCUCAGCAAGGGCCCCAGACUCGGCUUUGGGUGAAAAAAAAUGGCCCGAACCAANNNNNNNNNNNNNNNNNNNNNNNNNNNNN